CCUACGGGUGGCAGCAGUAGGGAAUCUUCCACAAUGGGCGAAAGCCUGAUGGAGCAACGCCGCGUGGGUGAAGAAGGUCUUCGGAUCGUAAAACCCUGUUGUUAGAGAAGAAAGUGCGUGAGAGUAACUGUUCACGUUUCGACGGUAUCUAACCAGAAAGGCACGGCUAACUACGUGCCAGCAGCCGCGGUAAUACGUAGGGGGCAAGCGUUAUCCGGAUUUAUUGGGCGUAAAGGGAACGCAGGCGGUCUUUUAAGUCUGAUGUGAAAGCCUUCGGCUUAACCGGGGUAGUGCAUUGGAAACUGGGAGACGUGAGUGCAGAGGAGGAGAGUGGAACUCGAUGUGUAGCGGUGAAAUGCGUAGAUAUAUGGAAGAACACCGGUGGCGAAAGCGGCUCUCUGGUCUGUAACUGACGCUGAGGUUCGAAAGCGUGGGUAGCAAACAGGAUUAGAUACCCCAGUAGUC
rnacentral:rRNA from 1 species